GAAGGUAUAGCUCAGUGGUAGAGUGUGUGUCUAGCAUGCCCAAGGUCCUGGGUUCAAUCCCCAGUACCUCA
rnacentral:tRNA from 1 species